ACUUUUGUGAUCGAUUAUUAGGGAGUUUUUCAACCCACGUGUCACCAUUUUAGGCAAAGUAUAUUUUUUGUUCUAUUUUCUUUUCACCAAAAUCAUAUUUGUUUUCUCUUCUUCAUCUCUGUUUCCUCUUCGUGUUCUCCGUCACGACUGAGAAAUGAUCGAUACCGAUCGAAACCACCAACAAUCCUCCACCACCGAUCCUCCGUCUUCGCUCUCGUCUUCUCCUCUUCUCCGUGACAGAGGAAGCAUCGAAACCCACCACCGAUCGAGUUUCCACAAAAAGGACGAUGACUAUCUCUCCUCGCGGCGUCUCCUCCGUCCUCACGGCGUCUCCUCCGCCUUCUCUCGUCUUCUCCGUCAGUAUAAGGAUCGAUACCCACCAUCGAUCGCCCGUCUUCUGUCGUUUCGAUUCUCCGUCUUCUCUCGUCUUCUCCCUCAGAAGAGCGAUCGAAACCCACAGAUAAGUUAUGUUUCAGUUUCUCUUCUUCACAAGCAAAACCAAAGCAGUUCGGUUCUGUUUUUGCUCUUGACGUAAUCUACUGAUUUUGCAUUAAUACCGAAUCAAUAUCUCUCGUUUCAUCAUUUAGUUUCCAUGGAAAGAAGAAAAGAAAAGUUUUUUGUUAGUUUUGCAUUCUGACUUGGAUCAACGAUCCUUUAGCUUUUACUCUUUCUGUGUUUACUGGUUAUAUAUGUGUAUACUUUGUUUUAAUGAUUGUUUUCAAUUUAACAGGACGCCAAGGAACAUCUUUAUGUAUUGGCUUCGUCUCUACCAGGCAUAAUGUCUUCUUGUGUUAAUAAUUUUGACAGGGUUGAGGGCGAUGUGAACAAGCCGACAGGGUUGAGGUCGACAGUCAACCACUUCUUGAGAGUCUCGUUAAGAGACAAAGAAGUCACAAGACUUGGUCUCGGUUAUGCGAGCAAGAGAGGUCACGAGAUGGUGUCGUUACUCAAGAGCAGUCACGAGAUUUGAUGUCGGAUUAGCUAGAGAGGUCACGGGAGUCGUUGUCGGAUUUGCAAGAGAGGUCACGAGAUGGUUGUGUAUAUGCGUGCCUGAGAUGGUUUUGUCACGAUAUGGUUUUGUAUGUGUUGUAUGUUUUGUCACGAGAUUGUUUUGUAUAAAGAAGACAAAGAGUGUUUGUGUUUUUUGUGUCACGAGAUGGUGUUUGUCAAACUCAUUGUAUCAAGUCAUCAAAACUCAUAUCUCUCUUGCUUUAUAUAAAUCAUCUCAUUGCUCA